ACUCAAAUGAAUUGACGGGGGCCCGCACAAGCGGUGGAUCAUGUGGUUUAAUUCGAAGCAACGCGCAGAACCUUACCUAGGUUUGACAUCCUCGGACAGCGGUAGAAAUACUGUUUUCGUAGCAAUACGACCGGGAGACAGGUGCUGCAUGGCUGUCGUCAGCUCGUGUGGUGACAUGUUGGGUUAAGUCCCGCAACGAGCGCAACCCCUGUUUUUAGUUGCCAGCAUUAAGUUGGGCACUCUAAAGAGACUGCCGUGGUUAACACGGAGGAAGGUGGGGAUGACGUCAAGUCCUCAUGGCCUUUAUAUCUAGGGCGACACACGUGAUACAAUGGUCGGUACAGAGGGAAGCGAGAGGGUGACCUGGAGCUAAUCUCAAAAAGCCGAUCUCAGUUCGGAUUGGAGUCUGCAACUCGACUCCAUGAAGUUGGAAUCGCUAGUAAUCGCGGAUCAGAACGCCGCGGUGAAUACGUUCCCGGGCCUUGCACACACCGCCCGU
rnacentral:rRNA from 1 species